rnacentral:rRNA from 1 species
AUGCGACAGCAAGGUAACUUGUGCGCCAUGCACCGAGAAGCAGAGGAGGAGGAGCUCUGGCACCGCGGCCAUGGCGACGGUAUCACCUCGACGCACACGUACACGGUACACCUCUUGCCGUCGACGUCGCCCGAUGAGGAGGAGGAGGAGAACUCGCCGAUCGAGCAGGUGGCGCUGACGGUGCCCGUGGGCGACGACCCGGACACGCCCUUGCUCACCUUCCGGAUGUGGGUCCUCGGCAUGGCGUCCCGCGCGGUGCUCUCCUUCCUCAACCAGUUCUUCUGGUACCGCAAGGAGCCGCUCACCAUCACCGCCAUCUCGGCCCAGAUCGCCGUGGUGCCGCUCGGCCGCCUCAUGGCCGCGGCGCUCCCCGAGCGCGCCUUCUUCCGCGGCAGGCCGUACGAGUUCACCCUCAACCCGGGGCCGUUCAACGUGAAGGAGCACGUGCUCAUCACCAUCUUCGCCAACGCCGGCGCCGGCACCGUCUACGCCAUCCACGUCGUCACCGCCGUCCGCGUCUUCUACGGCAAGAACCUCACCUUCUUUGCCUCGCUCCUCGUGGUGCUCACCACCCAGGUGCUCGGGUUCGGGUGGGCGGGGAUUUUCCGGCGGUACCUGGUGGAGCCAGCGGCCAUGUGGUGGCCGUCCAACCUCGUGCAGGUCUCCCUCUUCAGGGCGCUCCACGAGAAGGAGGUGCGGAGCAAAGGCGGCUUCACGCGCAGCCAGUUCUUCCUGGUGGCCUUCGUCUGCAGCUUCGUCUACUACAUCUUCCCCGGCUACCUGUUCCAGAUGCUCACCUCCCUCUCAUGGAUCUGCUGGGUCUUCCCCAACUCCGUGUUGGCCCAGCAGCUCGGCUCGGGCCUCUACGGCCUCGGCAUCGGCUCCAUCGGCCUCGACUGGGCCUCUGUCUCGUCUUACCUCGGGAGCCCCCUCGCCAGCCCCUGGUUCGCCACCGCCAACGUCGCCGCAGGAUUCUUCAUCAUCAUGUACGUGAUCACGCCCAUGGCGUACCGGUUCAACUUGUACAAGGCGCGGAACUUUCCCAUCUUCUCUCAUGGGCUCUUCACCGAGUCCGGGCACAAGUACAACAUCACGAGCAUCGUGGACUCCCAGUUCCAUUUUGACACGGAGGCCUACCAGAAGAAUGGUCCACUGUACCUCAGCACUUUCUUUGCUGUCACGUAUGGUGUCCGGUUUGCAUCCCUUACCGCAACGAUCAUCCAUGUCCUCCUCUUCCAUGGAAGUGAAAUUAGGCAGUUAAGUAAAUCAGCUUUCCAAGAGAAGAGGGUGGAUGUACACACAAAGCUUAUGAGGAGAUAUAAGCAGGUCCCCGAGUGGUGGUUCAUCUGCAUCCUUAUUGUUAACAUUGCCGCCACCGUAUUUGCUUGUGAAUACCACAUCGAGCAACUGCAGCUGCCCUGGUGGGGUGUGCUGCUUGCAUGUGCCAUAGCCUUUUUCUUUACCCUCCCAGUUGGAAUUAUCACAGCAACUACGAACCAGACUCCAGGAUUGAACAUCAUCACAGAGUACAUCAUGGGGUACUUGUACCCUGGACGUCCGGUCGCAAAUAUGUGCUUCAAGGUAUAUGGCUACAUCAGCAUGAGCCAAGCUCUGACGUUUCUGCAAGAUUUUAAGUUGGGCCACUACAUGAAGAUUCCCCCAAGGACCAUGUUCAUGGCUCAGGUAAUUAACCUUUUACUCAAAUAA